GGAUAGGGUCUUCCGGGUGGGAAGAUAAGGUCAAGGAACGGCUGGAUUUGGUGGGAUAAGGAUGGGAGCUGAACAGGGGAUGUUGAUGGUUGUUGGGAACGGAACUGGGAUCAAGCCGUGGAAGGAAACAUGGCUCUGUUGAGAGAAUCUCGGACGGCUGGAACGAGCGUGGGCGAGCUGGGAUUGGAGUUCAUCCGGAGGCUGAUGAGAGCUGAUGCCGUUUAGGAGUGAUCCGGAAGAGGCCAAUGCGAACGGAAGGAGAGAAGAUCACGGAGAAACAGGGGAUUCGGAUGGCAGUUGAGAUGAAGCUCGCGAUGGAAAGACUUGGGUUUUGUUCCGCUGAAGCAGGGGAUGAUGUGGAUGAAUCCGUGGAUGCAGGGGAAUUCAGAUAGGAAGAAAUCUUUGGACGCGGAAGAGGGAUGUGAUCCUGACGUUGGGGAAGAUCUCACGGAAUGGUUGGGAAGUUUGCUGGGUAUGAGUUUAUCCCGUCAAUGCUAGAGAUCAAGCUCCCUUGCUCUGUUCUAUUUCCGUGAAAUCUGGGAAGAUAGAUCGGAAGCUAUGCCAUGGGAGAUUGGCUCUGUUUUGAAACUAAAAUAAGGGAGGUUGGUUUAGGGAGGAUUUCGGUUGUUCCUUUUAGAUGCUCACGGGAUGAAGUUUGGUAACAAAAGUUGGGAGAUCGAGAGUCGCGGGAACUGGGGAGAUGGUUGGGAAGAUCCCGGCUGUUCCGGAGUAAUGGAAGACCGUGGACGUUGGGAGGAUCUCAUGCGAACGAUGGCUGGGAGGAGAUCGUUGAAAGAAGAGAAGAUGAGCUGGGAGUUCGGAAGGAGAAGACGUGGCUUUGUUUGUGGACGGGAGCGGAAUGAUGAUGAAGCUCACGGCUGGCAGGAAAUCCUUCGACGCCGUGUUUGCUGGUCCGUGAGGUUCGGGAUUUCUUUAUUCCGAAGCAGGGGAUGAAGGUGAAUUGGUUGAAGCUGGGAGCUAAUCCGGAUGAGGUUGAAACAGGGGAGGAAGGCUGCGGACGUGGAGUAGGGGAUGUUAGGUAGAUUAAGCCGGAAGAUAAGAUGGAGGAGUUGGAUUCGGAAGUUGAGAAGAAGUCGGAAGAAGAUGAACCUGUUCUUUGGACAUGGGAGAGAAGGAAUGUCAUGAAUCGGCUGGGAUGGCUCGGAUGCUAUCGGGAAGAGCUUGAAGUUGGGGGUCACGGGAGAAGCCGAAUAAGAUAUGUUUCCCGGGAGGCAAUCGGGAUAUGAGGGCGGACGUGUGAAUUGGAGGAGAUAGGUUGAGCUUUGAGAUCCGUGCGAUGAUAGAUGGUACGCUUUGAGAUCUAUGAGACAAAUGAUCGAAUGGAUCAUAUUAUUUUUAAUGUUAAACAGGAGAAUGGGAAAAAUUUAGGUGAAUGUGUGAAGAGUCAGGAAUUAAUGGGGAGCACUGGGCUUUGGAAAAGAGUUCUUGGAGUCGACUCUGGGGGAUGCUGCAGUGUCCAUAGGCUUUACCUAAUUGAGCUCGACUCGACCUGCAUGCAUUAAGCUUAAUUAAUAAAUAAUCAAAUCAAACUUGAAUUAUCUUGGAUAAUUUAUUAAAAUGCAAUCAUGUAGGUAAUGCAUUUUUUUGGUUGAAUUUACAAAUUAUGUGAAUUAAAAUAAUGAUAAGUGCUAUGAAUAAGAUAUUAAUUUAUGCAUUAUUUAGCACUUAUCAC
rnacentral:lncRNA from 1 species